rnacentral:rRNA from 1 species
AUGCACGGCACGGUCACUGGAGAGGCGUUUGCGGCGGAGCUCGUCGGCGUCGCGUAUGCCAGGGCGUCGAAGCCGACCAACGCGUUCGCCGCCUCGUCUCCUGGAGCGGGCGGCCACAACUACAAGGGCGCCUCCGCGUCCGCCGUGCUGGCCCGCCUAGCCGGCGGCAACAGGUGGCACCAGGACGACGACGGCGGUGAAAUGGAUGAACUGCAGGAGGUUAGCCGUCCACAUCCCUGUGCCUCUGUUGGUGAACAUCGUGGAGUAAUGUUGUUAAGUUAUCUGCUGCUGUUUGUUGUCCUGUUAAUUUCAGAAAGAAUUCCAAUCCAUCAUGGUGUGCGCAUGCAGUUAAUUGAUCUCCAGUUAAGUGAUCUGCUGUUGUUUUAG